rnacentral:lncRNA from 1 species
CGGAGAAGGCUUAAUAGCAGACUCCAGGGAGUCUACAAAACAACCUUUUUGUAUUCUUUGUGUUUGACUUGUGUUUAAUUUGUUCUGUCUUCAAGCAGUUCUAAGUGCUUUCUGUACCCCACACAGUAUUCAGCUGAUCCCAUUUGAUCCUGCACCUCCAGCUGAGGAUGGGUGUGGCAGAUACCAGACAUUGUGGACCAGGAUGUAAGAACCCCUUUAGUCCCUGUGAAGUCAUCUCUAAUCCAGUGUGAAUACUUUCUCCAUGGCCAAAUUCAGUCUACCAACAUGACUCCAUCAGCGAACACAGAACUGUGAAGAGAUGUUCACACUUGAUGGGGUGAGUUAAUGGCAAGACCUACACACCAUAGCACGCAAUGCAAAGAAGUCGUAUCAUAAUUACAAACCCCUAUCUCUGUAAAAAGCAAAUAUAUUAACAAGGGUCCAAUAUUUAUAACUUUUUAAAGUAAAAUGUACAUAGUGAAUUAAUCUUAUAUGUACAAUGUCAAUGAGUUUUGAUAUGUA